rnacentral:rRNA from 1 species
UACGUAGGGUGCGAGCGUUGUCCGGAAUUACUGGGCGUAAAGAGCUCGUAGGCGGUCUGUCGCGUCUGGUGUGAAAUCCCGAGGCUCAACCUCGGGCUUGCAUCGGGUACGGGCGGACUAGAGUGCUGUAGGGGAGACUGGAAUUCCUGGUGUAGCGGUGGAAUGCGUAGAUAUCUGGAGGAAUACCGGUGGCGAAGGCGGCAUCCUGGACCGGCAUUGACGCUGAGGAGCGAAAGCCAGGGGAGCGAACGGG